ACGUAACCUUUUUAAAACUAUAUGUUUUUAAAUGAAAUUACUGACAAAAGGUGUCAUUUUGUAUUGACCUAACAUCAUAUUCCUAGCACAACAGAAACUGUUAAGAACCGGCUUUUCGAGCUCGCUAUCUCCCGUUGAUAUAACUGAUAAGUUUUGAAGUGACUAUUAUCGAUAUUAUGCAGAUAACGUUAUUUUGAGUGGUCACUGGUCAUUGCUUAAUCGUGAUGGUGUUUAGCGAGAAAGGGUGUUACGUUGUGUGAAAUGUUAUCUGAAAUGUGUUUUAAACUAAAAAUGAGGCGAUUCAACUGGAUUAGCCGAUUGGUACCAAGACGAAACAGCCCGUAUGCGUUGUUUCUUUUAUUUGUUAUAUGCGUGCCACUUAUGUGGUGCUGGCUGAUGAUCGACACAGUCUCCAGCGUGAUACUGACUACCGUUGCCGAAGAAGACUUGUACCAUUUACAAAGGAAUAGAAAUUUGAAGGAAUAUAUCGAUAAUAUUCCGGUGCUAAUCGAACCAUCCAAAGCCCCGUGUGGAGACAUUUUAGUUUUAGUAACGUCAUCACCAGGUCGAUUUGAAGCACGGGACGCAAUUAGAAGCACUUGGGGCAAACAUUUAGUGACGCUCUUUGUGAUGGGUCUUGAUGGAUAUACUGAGGAUGAUUUAAUGGUAGACAACUAUUUAGAAGCAAAACUGCACAGUGACAUCAUAAUAUACAAUUUCAAAGACCACUACCAGAACCUAACAAUAAAAACGGGUCUCAUGCUGGAAUGGACCAUUAGUAGAUGCUCCACAUCCAAGUUCCUAUUCAAGACUGAUGAUGAUGUCCUGGUUAAUCCAUGGAAGUUGAGACAAAUAGUCGAGAAGAAUACUGAGAAUGUGCUGAUAGGAUACCGGAAGUCAAAUACGUAUCUUCAUAGGGAUACUUAUAGUAAAUGGCACAUCCCGCGCUGGCUGCUUCAGGAUGACUUUGUACCCCAUUAUUUAUCUGGCACGGGCUAUUUAAUAAACGGUAAUUUGGGGGUAACUUUAAUCAGGGGUCAGGCAGUCAAUAAAUAUCACGAUAGAUAUAUUGAAUCAACUUGUCGUACUACACUUUCAACAGAUAUUGACUUCAAUAUCGUCAGUAGUCAGAAGACCAUCUUGGGAGUAAUAAUGUUUCGUAAUAAUGGACGAUAAAAGUAAGACCUGGUUUUCCAUAAUGCAGGCCAAACUUUAACUUACGUUAAUGAUAUCUUAAGGUAUAAGCAUAAAGACAAAUAUUUUACAUAAAAACAGUGAUCCAACAUCUCAUUUAUUCAAAACAACUAAAUAUUGACAGAUAUAAAAAAAAAUAGAUUUAUGUCAAUACGCUCAAUAUUUAUUUCUGCCGUGUUUACACAUCAAUAAAUAUUGACUAGAUCUCAAGGAUCACGAUAUGUUGACUGUCUGACCCCUGCCUUAGAUUAUGAAUAAAUUUCAUUCUUUAGCUUACUCCUAAAAACGAUUAAGAUUAUAUUCAGAAAUACGGUCUCGAAACUAGAGUUGUUUUUUAAAGAAUUAAGAAUUUAUGAUCAGGUAACCAGGAACAUGCCUCAAUUCUCGAAAUACCCCUUAACCAUAGAGGUCGGUUAUAUGCGUUAUUCACAUUAUAUGAUGAAGGCAAACAUUGUGAGGAAACCUUUAUGCCUAUAAAAAUGUUCAAGGAAAUGUAUUAAAUAUUAAGAAUUUAUGAACAGGUAACCAGGAACAUGCCUCAACUCUCGAAAUACCCCUUAACCAUAGAGGUCGGUUAUAUGCGUUAUUCACAUUAUAUGAUGAAGGCAAACAUUGUGAGGAAACCUUUAUGCCUAUAAAAAUGUUCAAGGAAAUGUAUUAAAUAUUAAGAAUUUAUGAACAGGUAACCAGGAACAUGCCUCAACUCUCGAAAUACCCCUUAACCAUAGAGGUCGGUUAUAUGCGUUAUUCACAUUAUAUGAUGAAGGCAAACAUUGUGAGGAAACCUUCAUGCCUAUAAAAAUGUUCAAGGAAAUGUAUUAAAUAUUAAGAAUUUAUGAACAGGUAACCAGGAACAUGCCUCAACUCUCGAAAUACCCCUUAACCAUAGAGGUCGGUUAUAUGCGUUAUUCACAUUAUAUGAUGAAGGCAAACAUUGUGAGGAAACCUUCAUGCCUAUAAAAAUGUUCAAGGAAAUGUAUUAAAUAUUAAGAAU